GCCAUCACCGGCGCCGUCAACCUCGGUCUGCCGCAUGGCGCCGCCCAUGGAGCAUGUGCAGCAAUAACGGUCGAACUAAUCUGUGGAGGAGGAACAGAAAACUUUCUACGUCACUGUCGUUCUUUUAUAUCAAAACUACGUAUGAAGAGUCUUCUCAGGUCUGGAUGUGUCUACUGUUUAGUAACAUUAUUUAAUUACGAUAUUUUAAUGGUCGGAGCCUGUAUCACGCGGCAGUGUGAUAUGAAACUAGAAGAAACUUAUUCAUACAGUUUAAUCGAACACUAAACGUGGAUAAGUGUAGCAAA